AAAUCCCAUGGGCAGAGGAGCCUGGCAGGCUACAUAGUCCAUGGGUUCGCAAAGAGUCAGACACUACUGAGAGUAACACUUCCCAGGUUCUGGAGCAGAUCCAAAGCAAGCAGAUGAGAAGGGCUGCUGCAGACCUGCUGGGGAUGAGAGGGCAGGUGUGGAAGGCAGCCAGAGAGUAGCCUCUUGACUUACCCUGAGCUAGGAUUAAGGGUCUGCUCUGAUAUCACUUAGGGCUCAGCGUGCCACAGUCAGCUUCUGGGCUGGUGAGAGCCAGUUGUUCAAUUUUCAGGAAUGUGGUGAAUUGACUGAGAUCUUCCUGAUAGUUUCCAGUUGGCUACAGUGGGAAUUUUUACAUUGAGAAAACUGACCAUACUCCACCCAGGUGUGAAACACUCACCAGUGCCUCACUCCGCAGGGCGCCCCAGAAGGUGUGCAGCAGGCGGCCACGGUGCGCCCUGCAGGGUAGGAACUCUGUGUCCCGCCAACCAGGAGAGAGCUGGUCAACCUUCAGAUGACGGCUGCGAUUCCUCUUGGUGCUGCUUGUCAGACACACGUGCUGAGCUGCUCUGACCUCCAGCUCCUCUUGUUCUCUCCUCCAUCCAGGCCCUGAAGCUGAUCACCACCAUCUGCUCCUUCCUCCUCCUUGUUCUCAGGGUGGACCCUCUGCUGGGUCAGCAUACGCUGCCAAGGAGUCCACUGGGCCAUGUCAGGAACCAGGGCUGGAUGCAUCUGGGUAUCUUUUCUUUUUACUUUAAGGGAUCAGCUGAUCUAAGGAAUGACCCCUAAUGGAAUGCCAUUCUCUUUGGCGAGCGUCACGCCAGCUUCCAUUUCUGGAUGCUCACUACAUCCCAGGACCUGUGAUGCACCUCUAAUGAUCUCAGGUGCUUUUCACAAUGGCCCCUCAAAACUGGCAGGGCUGCUAGCUCCAGGCCACUGACCAGGAAGGGUGACCCAGCCACACACCUCGUAGGUGGCAAGAGAGGGAUCCAAACACAGGUCGGCUUGGUUUCAAAGCCCUGGCUCCUAACAGCAAUCGUGCAUUGUCUCUCUGUCCCUGGGACAGGCAAGGGAGUUCCAUGAUGGCCAGGAGUGAAGCACCUGCAGUGUUCGGAAGCAUUUAGUAGCCAAUGCAGUGGUAGCGCUGGCAUAGGACUUUCAGAGGGGUUCACUGUGUUUGCAAACAGACAUUGAAUAGGAAAAG